rnacentral:rRNA from 1 species
GUCGAACGCAGUAGCAAUACUGAGUGGCAAACGGGUGAGUAUAAUGUGGGAAUCUGCCUUUUGGUUUGGAAUAACACGAGGAAACUUGUGCUAAUACCGAAUAAGCCCUUACGGGGAAAGUUUUAAUGCCGAAAGAUGAGCCCGCACUUGAUCAGCUAGUUGGUAAGGUAAAAGCUUACCAAGGCUACAAUCAAUAGCUGUUCUUAGAGGAAGACCAGCCACAUUGGGACUGAGACACGGCCCAGACUCCUACGGGAGGCAGCAGUGGGGAAUCUUGCACAAUGGGGGAAACCCUGAUGCAGCGAUGCCGCGUGAGUGAAGAAGGCCCUUGGGUUGUAAAACUCUUUCGUCGGGGAAGAAAAUGACUGUACCCGAAUAAGAAGGUCCGGCUAACUUCGUGCCAGCAGCCGCGGUAAUACGAAGGGACCUAGCGUAGUUCGGAAUUACUGGGCUUAAAGAGCUCGUAGGUGGUUAAAAAAGUUGAUGGUGAAAUCCCAAGGCUCAACCUUGGAACUGCCAUCAAAACUUUUUAGCUAGAGUGUGAUAGAGGUAAGUGGAAUUUCUAGUGUAGAGGUGAAAUUCGUAGAUAUUAGAAAGAACACCAAAUGCGAAGGUAACUUACUGGAUCACUACUGACACUGAGGAGCGAAAGCAUGGGUAGCGAAGAGGAUUAGAUACCCUCGUAGUCCAUGCCGUAAACGAUGUGUGCUAGACGUUGGAAAUAUAUUUUUCAGUGUCGCAGCGAAAGCAUUAAGCACACCGCCUGGGGAGUACGACCGCAAGGUUAAAACUCAAAUGAAUUGACGGGGACCCGCACAAGCAGUGGAGCAU